UAGAGGCUGAAGGCAUUCAAAGGUUCC
rnacentral:piRNA from 2 species